AUGCUCAAAAUUGAUCUUGCUAAAGCUUUUGACCGUCUUGAGUGGAACUUCAUUGUUUCUGCUUUGGCUCGUAAAGGACUGCAUGGUCAUUUCAUAAAUUUGGUUCAUGCCUGCAUCUCCUCACCUACUUUCUCUGUGCUUAUUAAUGGUCAACCCUCUCAAAAAUUUAAAAACUACAGAGGUAUUAGACAGGGCUGCCCCAUGUCUCCUUAUUUAUUUGUUCUAGCUAUCAAUGAGUUAUCCAUUAUGCUGAAUGAGGCUUUGCAGGCCAAUCAUUUGUUUGGUAUUUCUCUUGGACCAAAUUGCCCUUCUGUGCAUUCCUUACUGUUUGCAGACGAUCUUCUUGUCUGUGGGCAGGCUACUUGUCAGGAGGCUCAGGUUAUGGCCAACUUGAUUAAUCACUUCUGUAACAUCUCUGGCCAAACUCCUAACUGGAGUAAAUCAGCUAUUUUUUUCAGUUUUCAUGUUCCUCAGCAGGUAAGAGAUGACAUUAAAAGCAUUUUUCCAGUAGCUAAUCUGGAUGACAACUUCACUCAUUUAGGUCAUCCUCUCAUUCUUCCUGCUAACAAUAGAGCAGCUGCUUACAACUUUGUCUUAGAUAAAUUUCUUAACAAGCUGCCUUCCUAUAAAGCUAAUAUGCUUUCUCAUGCUGCUAGAUUGGAAUUAAUCCGUUCUGUUUUCUCGGCCAUUCCAGUUUAUUACAUGUCCAAUAUUUUAUUCUCAAAAAAGUUCAUUGCUAAACUUACUGCAGUAAUCAGAAACUUCUGGUGGACAGGUAUUAGAGAAACAAAUUCCAGGAAAAGUCUUUGCCUUCGUGCUUGGAAGGACAUUUCAAAUUAA
rnacentral:rRNA from 1 species